UCGGUACCAUUCAGUGGCUAUAAGUGACAAGAUGAGUCGUCAAUGACUUGUCCCCCGCAAACGUGAGUGAUUUGUGACCGUUGGUAAGACAAAAUAUAAGCAAAUUUCGUGCAUGUUAUGUAAACAAAGCUGUGAAAGAAGGAAUUCUAAACAGAUCUAAUACAAGAAAAUAAAAUUUAAGGAAGUUUAAAAAAAUAAUAAAUAAAAAUAAAUGAAAUCUCAAUGAGUUAAAAACAUGAUGAGUAAUGAUUCUUAUAAGCAAACAAAGGAGAUUUGGUACUAGUGAAUGUUUAAAGCAAUAUCUUUUGGAUCUUAUGAUGAGGAAUCUGGAAGUUCAAUUGGCACGAUCAGACGAAUUUUAUAUGAAGGGAAGAUACAAAAUAGCAAACUACGUAAAUCACUUAUAUCAAUUUGUUGCACAUAUGUAUUGGCACUAAACAAAGGAACAGAGCAACGAAUGGACUUUAGCUAAGGUCAUUGAAAGUAAAAUUAGAUUUUCGGCAAAUAUAUUCAUAUCAACUUUCUGUUACGACGAAAAAUACAUGAGACACGAUCGGAGCCGAUCGUGCGGCUAACACGUGAUCGUCAAAAGCGGGUUUGUAAGCAGACAAUUUCCUACACUUAAACCAGUAGCUGCGCCAAGUGUUUAUAAAUAAACAGACGGGGGCUGUGGUGUAUGUGGCGUUGGUGGCGGCAUCUACAGCAGUCGAAUAUUUUGGUUUUGGUUGCGGUGCUUCAGUGGGUAGGGAGCUAAUAUUGCGACUUUAUUAGCUGUCGAAUGAAACGGAAACACGACCUUGGAAAUUUCGGUACGUUAACAGUCAAGCAAUAGGGAACUAUAGCACAUGAGGGCGAUGCUUGUUUUUAAUUUACUUCACAGACAAACUUACAUAUGUACUAUAUAUGUGUGCUAUCAAUUUAUAACUCUUUAUAUAUGUAGAUAUGAGAAAUAUAUGUACUUCAGAUUCUAUAAGUUGAAUUUUCCAUUUCCACAGUCCAUUUUAGAUCGAUUGAUUUUUAAUAGCUUUUUCGGCGUAUUUGCUUUUAAAACAAACCAAUUGAGUUCACAAUACCUUGAACUCCUUACACACCAAGGAACGAUUUCGAAGCAUUUAUUGAAAAGCCCGAAAGAGCCGCUUUUAACGGUGUAAUAACAACAAGCUUCGACCGUUUAGUUUCUUAUGGUGAGUCAUAAAAAUGUUUUAACAGUCGAAGAAAAAGUUU